AACCUCCGCAAUGUGAGAAAUCGCGACGGGGGGAUCCCAAGUGCCAUUCUUAACGGGAUGGCUUUUCUUAAGUGUAAAAAGCUUUUGGAAUAAGAGCUGGGCAAGACCGGUGCCAGCCGCCGCGGUAACACCGGCAGCUCUAGUGGUAGCUGUUUUUAUUGGGCCUAAAGCGUUCGUAGCCGGUUUGAUAAGUCACUGGUGAAAUCCUGUAGCUUAACUGUGGGAAUUGCUGGUGAUAUUGUUGAACUUGAGGUCGGGAGAGGUUAGCGGUACUCCCAGGGUAGAGGUGAAAUUCUGUAAUCCUGGGAGGACCACCUGUGGCGAAGGCGGCUAACUGGAACGAACCUGACGGUGAGGGACGAAAGCUAGGGGCGCGAACCGGAUUAGAUACCCGGGUAGUCCUAGCCGUAAACGAUGCGGACUUGGUGUUGGGAUGGCUUUGAGCCGCUCCGGUGCCGAAGGGAAGCUGUUAAGUCCGCCGCCUGGGAAGUACGGUCGCAAGACUGAAACUUAAAGGAAGU
rnacentral:rRNA from 1 species